rnacentral:lncRNA from 1 species
GCCUGUAUGUAUUCUACAUAUAUCGUACUACUAAAAUCAAUCUGUUGAGGUUAGUUUCCAUUUCAAGGAGAGUAGAGAAUCACAACCACCAGCUCCUAUCAUGUGCUGCAUCGUAUCAAUUAAAAUUAAAUUAAAUUAAAUUUCAUGCAAAGAACACAACUUAAAAAAAUCCCAGCAAAUAACAACAGAACCUUUCCACUAAUGAUUUUCAGUCAUCGGAAGUAGAGAGAGACUCAGACAGCAGACAGCAUGGUCCCAGCAUGCUUUUUGCCUUUUUUUUUGUUUGCACAGUAGCUGUCAGUUGCAGCCCUGCAGGAUAAUUAAAAGAGAAUCCUGUAAAGGCAACAUUCCUUCAAGCAAGUUGGUGCUGUAACGUUCUGAUCUCCUAAUAUGAAUCACUUAUUCCAGACUGCUCUUUGAAGAAGGCAUCCACUGAUAUAUCUGAGAUUAAAUGAGUCACUCAUGAUGGAUUGUGCUUCAUGGCUUUAUAUACCACAGAAAAUUAUGCAUUUUACACUGCCUUGUAAAAUAACCAUUUAUCUAAGUAAACAUAUUGACUCCUUUUGGGUUCAUAUGAAAACUAUCCUGGGCUGUGAAUCUUAAUUUAGCAAGCUCAUGACAGGCAGGAAAAAGGACAGCUAACAAUGAUGGAGAAGAAUCAGUUACUUAAAUGUCAAUAGAGGGAGUUUAAAAAAUGAACUCAAAGUAACAGAUCAAUUUGUUCCCAAGUGUCCAGUCAGAGAUACAGGACUGGCAACUUCUACCACCUUUAUAUGCUGAUAUGCUGAUAUGAUGUCAAUUCAAGCUCAACAACAGCUUGUGAUGGAGAAAGAAAUGAGGCCAAACAGAACAAAGACAACUGGCUUGAUAUCACUUUACACAGACUCUAUCUCUUUCCACAAUUGCUAUGAUUUUCACAAGAUAAUUGGAUGGCUGGUCACCAGGGAGUGCUUAAGUGUUCCCAGACUCUUGUCGGCAGGGCAGAACAGAGCAUGCAACAGAAGUCCCAAGACCAGCUCUGCAAGGGCUCCACACCAAACUGCAGACUGA